rnacentral:rRNA from 1 species
UACGGGGGGGGCAAGCGUUGUUCGGAAUUACUGGGCGUAAAGGGCUCGUAGGCGGCCAACUAAGUCAGACGUGAAAUCCCUCGGCUUAACCGGGGAACUGCGUCUGAUACUGGAUGGCUUGAGUUUGGGAGAGGGAUGCGAAAUUCCAGGUGUAGCGGUGAAAUGCGUAGAUAUCAGGAGGAACACCGGUGGCGAAGGCGGAUCUCUGGGCCUUACCUGACGCUGAGGCGCGAAAGCUAGGGGAGCGAACAGG